UGCAACAUGUUGCUUUUUACUUGUUUCCAUCUUUUGAUUAAAAGUGAAACAUGUGGCAACUAACGAUUGUUGCCUUAUCGUUAUUUCGGCUAAAAGUUUUGAUAUUUGUAAUAAAUACAACAACGUUCGAAAAUCGAUAUAAUAAUAAUAACUUGCAAUAAAGAAAUACUGGUGAAAUAACAAUUAAAAUCUAUGCAAAAUAACGUUAAAAGUGUUCCAUGGUGUAUAUGUUGCGGUACUUGAUGAAAAAUGUGUAGGCAAAAGUGUCCUCGAAACUAGCGUCCAAGAACAACGAGGCCAUUUUUUGGUUGACUUCAUACAUGUCGUACGAAUAAAUGUCUGAACAAGCUUUGGCAAACGAUAAUAUAAAAAACGAUAUGUACCAAUGUACAAUGUAAAACUGAUUUUACUUAUGCAAGACAACUUAAGAGUCGAAGGAGAUAGUAGACGUGGUAAGCAGAAUUUAACAUGUCGUUGGAUUAAGUGGAAAAAGUAGUAGAGUAAUGGUGUUUUUUAGAU